UACGUAGGUGACCAGCGUUGUCCGGAUUUACUGGGCGUAAAGAGCGCGCAGGCGGUCGUUCAAGUCGAGUGUGAAAGCCCCCGGCUCAACUGGGGAGGGUCAUUCGAUACUGAUCGACUUGAAGGCAGGAGAGGGAAGUGGAAUUCCCGGUGUAGAGGUGAAAUUCGUAGAUAUCGGGAAGAACACCCGUGGCGAAGGCGGCUUUCUGGGACGGUACUGACGCUGAGACGCGAAAGCGUGGGGAGCGAACAGG
rnacentral:rRNA from 1 species